rnacentral:lncRNA from 1 species
CUCAAAUACUCAUUACAAAAAAAAGCCUCUGAACCAAUCACAGCUUUUUAACAAACCUCUUAACCAAUGGCUGCUUCGGAUGUGUCCUCAGAACCAAUCACAGCCUGAGAGCACAGCUGUGAGCCAAUCAGAGCUACAGACACUGAUAGAUCUCAGCUUGAGGUAAUGAGAGCUUUGUGAAAACAGUGCAGAGGGCUGCAAAGGAGAGUGAGCACAGACAGUGAAGGUUUAGUCAUUAAAACAGAAAGAGAAUGAAGGUCGGGGAAAAGAAGGCAGCGCUGCUGGCCAUCACAGAAAAUAUCGAGAUGGAGCUGUUUUCUUCAGAGGAGCACUGUGUGGUGGUGAUAACGCAGGAGAAGAAAGAAGAUGUUCACCAGACAGACCGGGAGCAUCCUCUCGUCCCAGACUGUGAGGAGGAUCAAGAGCCGCAGGUCGAGACCAAACCCAGGCAGCAGGCCAAACCCAAAACAGAGCCCCCUGUCCGGAAGGAGCCCACACAGUGCCCGAUUGUCAUCAGCUUCACAGAGGAAACGGAGAUAGAGAUGGAGGUUGGAGAUAAAGAUGGUGGUUGAUUAUUGAUGUUUUAAUACCCCAAUCUUUUUAAUCAUCUGCACUUCUUCCAUCGUGCUCCCUGCAGGUGUUUCCUCCCAUCAGAGUGUCAGAAGGUGACCUGGUGGAGAUAAACUCAGAUGAUUCUUCCAUUGUGACCCUGGUAGGUCUCCUCAGGUUUUGUGAUGCUUUUUGUUUUGAAUCUGCAUGUGUAAUGUUAGAGUGAUACCACAGUGUGAUAAUGGUGCGUUUCAGUCGUCCCCAAACAAGACGCCUCGUCUCAAAUGGAAGAGGCUGACUCCACAGAGGACGGGGCUGAUGGUUAAAGAUGUGAUCUGUUUACCCAGAGAACACUACAUGGCUCAGCUGGAUAGACAAAUCAUUCCACAGAGUAAAGAGCGAGCAGCGCUGGCAGCCAUGGGGCUGACUGCUCGCAUCACCAUCGAUUGCAGCUGGUCGGCCAAUCAGAUGGAGAAUCGGCUGGCGACGCUUUUUCAGGGACAGUUUGUGAAACGGAAAGGACAGAGGUUUUCCUUUACAUACCUGCAGUGUGUGCAGGGCUCCAGAGUCCUGUUCGUCCCAGACACUCCUGCAGAGGGCUGGACUGGAGGGCAGGUGCUCCGGAUCUGUGCACAUGGAGCUUUAUAUAUCGUCAGCCACCACGACUACCCACAGGCAGGAUGUGAGAGGUCACCCGAUGAGACUCCUGUGGUGAACAGGUAAAAUGUGAUUUUUCCUGAGGAAACGUUAAAAACAAAUAGUAGUGAACCAGCUUGGUUACCAGUUCAUGGUUACCUAAACGUCCAGC